GACGAACGCUGGCGGCGUGCUUAACACAUGCAAGUCGAACGGAAAGGCCCUGCUUUUGUGGGUUGCUCGAGUGGCGAACGGGUGAGUAACACGUGAGUAACCUGCCCUUGACUUUGGGAUAACUUCAGGAAACUGGGGCUAAUACCGGAUAGGAGCUCCUGCUGCAUGGUGGGGGUUGGAAAGUUUCGGCGGUUGGGGACGGACUCGCGGCUUAUCAGCUUGUUGGUGGGGUAGUGGCUUACCAAGGCUUUGACGGGUAGCCGGCCUGAGAGGGUGACCGGCCACAUUGGGGCUGAGAGACGGCCCAGACACCUACGGGAGGGAGGAGUGGGGAAUAUUGCAGAAUAGGCGGACGCCUGUGGCAGCAACGCCGCGUGCGGGAUGACGGCCUUCGGGUUGUAAACCGCUUUCGCCUGUGACGAAGCGUGAGUGACGGUAAUGGGUAAAGAAGCACCGGCUAACUACGUG
rnacentral:rRNA from 1 species